rnacentral:lncRNA from 1 species
GUUGAUGAGAGCGCAGUGGGUGUUAAAUAAAACACAGAGACGAAUGGGCCCCUGAAUUAAAAGCAAAGCGCACCUAGACGUCACUGUAUUUUACUCUUUCUGCCACUGACGAAGAUAGAACGAAAACAGCUUUGGAUGUCAAGUGAAAGCGGUCUGAUAUGAUAUGACCCCACGACUUUAGGCUACUGUGUAUUAUCAAUUGCCUUCCUGAUGUCAUGUGACUAAAUGGUGAGUUUUCUUCUUCUUAAACUCUAUUAUAACUAACUUAACUAUAUUAUAACCGUCAACACUUGUUAUUGACAAAAUUAAAACCUAAUGAUCCGUUUAUUUUCAUUUAAAUAAAUAUUAUUUGUAUUUAUAUGUAUUAAGUAUUAACUCCGACAGAUGACACGCCGGCUCCACGUGAAGACUGAACGGGAGGCGCUAGAAGAGGGAGGAGAGGAGUUAAUUGGUAAUUAUAGAUGGCGGGGAUGAAGCAUUGAGGGGCGGUAGUGGUGUGUCAGUGGGGAAAGUUGGAACGUGGAUGGUGGGUGUUUUUCCCAAGAUUUUGCAAUUCUCGAGGACAGGUCAUUUUUCUUUUCUUUCUAAUUUCGUAGAUAUUUUAUGAAUUAAUGGAAUUAUCAAGUCUGAACUGAUGAACUUAACUAUCUGGUUCUUCUUACUUCUUCGUACUUGUGCUCAACUGCUCAAGUAGUUUAUGUAUAUGGAAGGAAGUGAUCUAUUUAUCUAUCUUCACUCUUCUAUCUGGGUAGUUGGUUGUUGUGUGUGUCACACGAUUUUCCGAACUGUCUUUUCUUUCCCUUUUCCGGUCAUCUAACCUUAAAUUUCGGAACUGUUUUUCACUCUUUCUCAAUUUCUUUCCUCUUCUGGUGACUCAGAGCAACACUCAAGUCAUUCAUAAGAGAAGAGUGAAGACUCUCUUGUUCAUUAUCCAAUUUUGUUUUAUUUGUUUUUUCAACAAACUAACUGCUAUUUAACGACCUACUAAUUAGCAGGAG